AUUAAUAAAAUUAUAUUUAAUUAUUUUAAAUAAAAUAAUAUUUUGUUUUAUUAUUAAAAAAGAAAAAAUUAAUCUAAUUAUAGUUAAAAGUAUAGUGAUAUAAAUUUUAAAUAUAUUAAAAAUUUAUAUAUUUAAAAGAAAAAUUUGGUUUUUGUACCUUGUGUAUCAGGGUUUAUUAAUAAAAUUUUAUAUAAAUAAAUUUCUCGAUUUUAAAAGAUUUAAAUAUUUAUUUUUUUUAAUGUUAAAUAAUUAUUAAUAAUAAAUAUUUAGUAAUGAAAUGUUAUUCGUUUUUAAAUAUAUCUAGUUUUUUAAGAAAUAGAUUUAAUCUGUUUGUUAAUAUAAAUAAAUUUUAUUGUUAAAUUUACUUUUAUUAAUAAAAAAUAUUUUAAGGGAUAAGCUUUAAAAUAAAUUUAUAUAAUAUUUAUUUUUAAAAUUAAAUGUAGGAUUAAAAAUUUCUUUCAUUAAUAAUUUGUUAUAAUUAAUUUUUUUUAAUUAUUUUUUAUAUUAUAUUUAUAUAUUUUAUUAAAAUUAUUUAUUUAAUUUUUAAUUAAUUGAUAUAAUGAUAAAAUUAGUAUAUUUUUAUUGUAAAAUUAAAUUAUUUUUAUUAGGUUAUAUUAAGGAAUUCGGCAAUAUUUAUUUUUCGCCUGUUUAAUAAAAACAUGUCUUUUUGAUUAUAAUUUAAAGUCUAACCUGCCCAAUGAAAUUUUAAAUGGCCGCAGUAUUUUGACUGUGCAAAGGUAGCAUAAUCAUUAGUUUUUUAAUUGAAAGCUAGAAUGAAAGGUUGGACGAGAAAAUAACUGUCUCAAUUUAAUUUAAUUAGAAUUUUAUUUUUAAGUUAAAAAGCUUAAAUUUAUUUAAAAGACGAGAAGACCCUAUAGAGUUUAAUAUUUUUAUAUUUUUAAUUUUUUAUAAUUUAAAUAAAAUGUAAAAAUAUUUUAUUGGGGUGAUAAAUAAAUUUAAUUAACUUUAUUUUUUUUUUUACAUAAAUUUAUGAAUUUUUGAUCCAUUUUUAAUGAUUAUAAGAUUAAAUUACCUUAGGGAUAACAGCGUAAUUUUUUUAGAGAGUUCUAAUCGAAAAAAAAGAUUGCGACCUCGAUGUUGGAUUAAAGUUAAUUUUUGGUGUAGAAGCUAAAAUAUUGAGUCUGUUCGACUUUUAAAACUUUACAUGAUCUGAGUUUAAACCGGUGUGAGCCAGGUUGGUUUCUAUCUUUAAAUAAUAAAAUAUUUUAGUACGAAAGGACCAAAUAUUUAUAAUAAUUAUUAUAUUAAUGAAUAUUAUU
rnacentral:rRNA from 1 species